CAGCCAUGUGCCUUCCCAGCUAACAGAGGUCUUCCGGACACCAUUUGCCAUCCUCCAGUGAAGAAUUCAUUGUGAUUGGACCAACUUGGAUCACAUGUCUGUCCCUGCUCUGACUGGCCACAACUCAGUCACAUGCUCCCCCUCAUAUGCUUGGUCUGAGAGAGAAGACAAAGUCCAGCCUCCUUCCUUCCGGUGCACUGGUUAGAUCUCUUGGAUCACCUCCUCUUCUGAACCUGUAGCUACUUUCCUGAUCCUUCCCACAUGCUCCAGUUCCAGAUAUCCUACAGACAGAACAUCUCCAAGGUUUUCAGAGUUUGCGGGACACUGUUAUCGAGUUCCGACUUGGCGGGCCUGGGCCAGGG